rnacentral:rRNA from 1 species
CAGCAGCCGCGGUAAUACAUAGGGGGCGAGCGUUAUCCGGAUUUAUUGGGCGUAAAGAGUGCGUAGGCGGUUUGUAAGGUCAGUCGUAAAAGAUCAGGGCUUAACCCCGUAGGGCGAUUGAAACCGGCAGACUUGAAUAUGGUAGAGGCUAGUGGAAUUCCAUGUGUAGCGGUGGAAUGCGUAGAUAUAUGGAGGAACACCAAUGGCGAAGGCAGCUAGCUGGGCCAGAAUUGACGCUGAGGAACGAAAGCCGGGGUAGCAAAUGGGAUUAGAUACCCCAGUAGUCCCGGCCGUAAACGAUGGAUACUAGGUGUUGCGGGUAUCGACCCCUGCAGUGCCAUAGCUAACGCGAUAAGUAUCCCGCCUGGGGAGUACGCACGCAAGGUUGAAACUCAAAGGAAUUGACGG